GCUGACUGGUCCAUUUUACAGAGAGCUGAUCGGUCCAUUUUACAGAGUGCUGAGUGGUCCGUUUUGACAGAGUGCUGAUUGGUGCGUUUACAAACCUUUAGCUAGACACAAAAGUUCUCCAAGUCCCCUACCUGAUUAGCUAGACACAGAGCGCUGACUGGUGCGUUUACAAACCUUUAGCUAGACACAGUGCUGAUUGGUGCGUUUACAAUCUUUUAGCUAGACAGAAAAGUUCUCCAAGUCCCCAUCCGUCCCAGAAGCCCAGCCGGCUUCAUCUCUCACUGGCAUUGGCAGGGCAGCGGGACUUUGCGACACCUAGCCCGGGCACUCCAGCAGCCCAGAGGGAGCUCCUCCCAGACAAUCAAGAGGGAAAGAGGGGAAGCAGAAAGAGACGGAGACCUGCUAUCUUGGCCAACGAUCCCGUGAAGAGGGAACGGCGGUCUACGCAGGGAAUUCAGCUUCCUAUCAAGCCUAGCAGGUGCUGGGCUUCGUUGCUGUUUCUGGCAGAGUCCUGCUUCUCGCGCCCGCUGCACUGGGUUUGGCGUCUCUGCUGUUCGCUGAGAUCUGCACACUCCAGGAGCCAUAGGGAGGACGCCAGGACAGCCCCGAAGACGAGAAUGCCUCGCUCCUCCUAGGACGGGAGGAAAAUCCCACAAAUCCUGUCUACUCCAAGCAGCCGCGCCCCUCGGGAGACCACCCCAGUUGGAGGGGCCCACUCCAGCCACCGCUACACCGGGACGCGCUCCUCCUCCCCCUGUGCCCGCCCCUUCUCGUGAGGGACCACCAGGAGGCCCCUCGAUUCCCCAGCAAAACACAGGUUUUGGAGCCAGAGUUUCUGAGUUUGAAUGUUUGGUCUGCUACUGACCAACUCUAUGGGCUUGGGUCAAAAACCAAUUACAUUCUAGGAGUGACCUUGAUGACUUAACUCUGUAAUCUGCAGCAACCUCAGAGGAUCAUGGGAUGCAUUAUGCACGUCAUGGAAUGGAUUGUAAUGUGUAACAUCUAUGAAAUCAAAGGAUGAAGAAGAUCGUGCCCAGAGCUCUCCUUGGGGGUGGAUGACAGAAUGAACAUUUACUCUGGGCUCACUGGAAAAGCUCCAACGUCUUGGAAAUUGAGUGGGUAUAAGGAAUGCACAAAUUAGUUUUCCUGUGACAGCAUGCAGAGCACUUUUCCAAGCCCCGUCACCUGUCCUUAGUUCCUCUGAACUAUACAGAGGAACAAAUCAAUAUAAAUGCAGAAGAGAAAAGAUGAGAUCAGCUGAUUUUGGUGUUGAUAUGGGAGAAUGGCCCGGGAGCAGCUCAGUCCAUGCUUGUCAACCACCCACCUCCAUAUACUCCAGCCCUGGUCCACAUCCCCCAAGGCUCCUUUUGUAGGAUUCCUCAACAGCACAAAUGCACCAACUGUCACUCUAUGUUCUCCUAGACCUACAGGAGGAGUGUGCAGGUGAUAAUCCAGAGGAGGAAGUGUCAUCUAUCAAGGUGGAGUUCACAGCCAAAAAACACCGUACGUAUUCUAAGAGCACUCCCUUGCUGACAACAAAUCUAAGUGAUGAGAAAGGAGGAACUCUCUUGCCUGCUUUUGUCUGGAGACCCUUCCUGGCUUCAGCUUCCUGAUAGGAGUGAGGAUCUGGGGUGUGGUGUGAGAAACAGAAGUCCCAAUAAAGAACUAUGACCAUCCACUAUAGUCUCUGGAAACAGCCAUAUCAUUUAGAUGGUGUGGGUUUGUAUGCAGGAGGGUUGGGAAGUAACUAAGGGUGAGUUAAUGUGUGGUGAUUGUGAAUGUGUUUGUCAAUGUGUGUGUUUCCCCCAGGAAAUGUGGACCCACAUGCACAGCACAGUACAAGUGUCACUUUUCUUGAAUUCCUG
rnacentral:lncRNA from 10 species